rnacentral:rRNA from 1 species
CGGGAAAAGCUCAAAUUUAAAAUCUGGCGGUUUCACCGUCCGAGUUGUAAUUUAGAGAAGUGCUACCCGUGCUGGACCGUGUACAAGUCUCUUGGAAUGGAGCGUCGUGGAGGGUGAGAAUCCCGUACAUGACACGGACUGCCAGGACAUUGUGGUGCGCUCUCGAA